ensembl:lincRNA
AAUAUAUUUUUGAAAAGCUUUCUUGUUUGGGAAGCUGUACACACUUCUAAAAUCAUUUAGGUAAUUAAUUAGGAUACCGAAGAUAAUAAUUUAAUAUCACAUACUUUUGUACUUUGUUCCUGCAUGUUUGACGGACAGGAGAAGUUGAUGGUGACUGAAAUUCUGAAAAUAUGCAGUCAGCACUUUUGUCUUCAUGGAAAGUGAACACAUUUGGAAAUAUUGGAUCAGCAUUGCAGCUAUACCCUUUAGACAGGAAACACACUUUCCAGUUCUCCUUGGCAGAGAGGCUGAAGGAUCUGUGUCUAUUGUCCUUGUUUUUUAUGUCAAUGUUGGAAGAGAAGCCUAAGCAAUACUAGAAGAAAAUAAACAGAGAGAGUGAAUGAAGAAAUUCUGUAGUAAAAUUAAAAGAAAGUAAAGCCAGAGUGACCUCCAAUAAGUGAAAAUGAAGCUCCCUCUCUAUUAGAAAAAUCAGCAAAUGAUAGUCUGGAAUCAUAGGGAGUGAAUAUGAUAGGCAACUAGGUGCACUUGCCAGGUUAUAUGUUUUCCCCAAAAUAUAUUAUGUUGAGGGA